CAUCGAGUCACGCCGACCGACCGACCGCCCCGCGGUUGUUAUAGCAAUGGGAGGAGUGGGAGGCUGCGGCUCCCGCCUUUCUAUCUGACAGCAGCGGAGGCUAAAGACAAUAUGGCUCCUUCCCAGAUGCUCAAACACCUGAGAUGAGGGUCAACAUCACUAAUCAAACAUUGCAACAGGCCAGCUGCUUCUCAAACCUUGGAGCCACAAAAGACCAGGGCCCCAUGUUCUGAGGCUCCUCCUGACUCCAGAUGAACUCUGAGGAAUCAGAGAACUCAACUUUACCAAAAAAAAAAAAAACUGUCCGGAGGUUACUUUAAAGUAUUGUAUAGUUAUUCAGCAGAACAUUCAAAUAUCGGAUUUAAAUGAAUGUGAAACUGUUGUCCUUUCACAGAAAAAGUCGAAGUGAAACCGAGUAGAGACAGAAGCAAGAGACACAAACAAAAAGAAUUAAAAUAAAUUAUAUAUUAUAUGAUCAGUAGUUUGAUCAUCACUCACAGAUAACACCCAGAGACAAGAAAAAACACCCCAGAAUUUACAGGAGGUAAAGGCCGGGUCACACUGCCGCUGCGUACAAUUUUUUGCUGAGAAUUAAGCAGUUUAUGUGCAUUUUACGUAGUUAAAACACAAUUAUGACAUAAAUCUUUUGACAUAAAUUUUUGCGAGAUCUGUUCCACAUAUGUCCACGUACACACAUGAACCACCAAUGUAUAGCUUAUUUUGUGUAUAUGGUGCACAUAUUGCAUUAUAAUUACAAUAAUUAUAAUUACAAAUAUGUGCAAAUUGUAGGUAGCAGCAGUGACACCGCUGUAAAAGGCAUUUUAAUAGCCGUUUAAGAGUAAUUCAGAAACUCGUGAAAAUGUCUACAUUAGUGACACUUGAUUAUAAUACAGACUCCUACAAUUGAAACUUUUAUUAAUAAAUUAUCUAAAUUAAUUUUCCUGACCGGCUCAGCGGAGAGCAGAGAAGUCUGCAUGUUUGAUCAGCACUCUUCUCCCUCUGUGGUCGUUCUCAGAACUCGACGCUCUUCUGUUUGCCGAGUGUCUGUUUUGUGAGCACAAACAUGAACUAAAAGCGACCCACAAGAACACUUCUAUCUGGACCAGCACUCUGGCUCUGAGAACGAUAUAAGCUAGUGAUGUGUUGAUUCAAAAAAUAAAGCACAGAAAUCUAAAAUCUUUUGAGAUAUUUAAAAAAAGGACCAAAGAUUCUCUGUAAAAAGACCUUCUAGUUGUGUUUUCUCAGAUUCCCUGUCUUCUUUUGAGUUCAGUUGUUUAAUCCAAUUGACUAAAGUAGGGAUGUCCCUGUUGAAUUGUGAGUCAUUUGAUUUUAUGUAUUUGCCGAUACAGAGUCCCAAUCUGAUACUUUUGUAACACAUUAAAAGCAUGAACAAAUUGAA